UUUAGACAAUCAUUUUCAUUUCUAACUUACUACAAGCACGAGGUAAUAUUUAUCCUGUCCAUGCAUUCUUACAGUAUCCUUACUCUGUUUUAUAUCACCAAUUUUCUUAUGCUAGAAUAUUCUUCUACUUGAUUACUUCACAGUAAUUAAUAGUUUUCAAAAUGUUUGUUUCAAUAUCACCACAUAAGCAUCAUAAUCUUAACUUUAUUAUGAUUUUUAGGAUUUGUCUCUGUUAGAUUUUCUAAAAUUACAUUCUUACACAAUUCAGUAUAUUUAUUUUGUCAUGAAUGUUCUUCUUAAACUUUGGCAAGUCUGACCAAUGUUGCUAUAGUGUUUACCUUCUCUUUCCCUUUUCCAAAAUUAUUCCAGCUUUUAAACAAAUAUAUAUAUAUAUAUACUUUUCCUUCUUAGCUACAAAAUUUUAAUUUCCAGUAAUGUUUCUUUAGGUUUAUAAAGUCCCUUUUUGUUUUACAGUGUAUAAUCACGUGUAUAAGUACUGCCUUCCUCUACUCAUACAUCUCUAUCUGAACAUCCUCCCCAAAACAUCUUGUUUUAGUCUGUAAUACUAAUAUCAUUGAGGGUUUUCGGCUUUUUACAAUAUUUACCCCACAUUUACUUCAUCUAUCUUCCAGUGGACUCUAGUUUACCUAGUGGAUUCUUCAUACCAUUGUAUACAUAUAUAACUAUCCCAUAAUUUUCAGCUGUUUCAUCAUAUAAUAUUUUAUAUUUAAUUAAAAAAAUUAUCUUAGGAAUAUGUCUCAAUGUUUACUGUUGCCUGUUUUAAACCAAUUAGGUAUUCCUUAUUUCAUUUAAUUUCAAUACAUUUGGUGACGCUCUUCUUCAGUGCCAAUAUGUUUUAUAACUUGCAUUUCCUGCCAAAUCCAAAUUAUCUUCCUUUAUGUAAUAUUAAAUAUAUUUUUCCACUUUUCUGUAAUACAAACUUAUAGAUUUUCCUACAGUAACAUUCUUAUAUUUUUUCUCACAUUGGCUCGAUUCUUCCAAUGUUGUAUUUACAUGCAACAGAGAUAUAUCUGUUCUUUAUAGCAGAAAUUAUUAUUGCUACUUUUUUAUUCUUUUGCUUUCAAAAGCUUUGGUCAAUUGUACAAUCAGUUGUACAGUAAAAUCAACUAAAAGCCACAUUCCUGCUACAUUUAUAAUUAUUUAAAAUUAAUAAUUUAUCCCACAAAAAUUGGUUCUUAUUGGCUGGAUGUUUCUACAUUUCAGCAUUAUUUUUGUUCUUUUUGGGCAAAAUUUUGCUUUUGCUCUUUGUGGUCUUUAUUUACUUUCAUUGUUUCUGAUAAGUAAAUUCAAAAUUACUCCACCCACAUCAGAACCUUUUAAUAAUUUACUGUUCUGUUAAUCUUGUGCCAGCUCUUUCCCAUGGCACAGGUAAGAAAUUGAGGUUCUGAGGUGGUGGUCCUGUUCGCUAUUAUUAAACCCUGCAGCCUGCUGUGAGUUGUCCUGUUGUGCUGAGAGAACUUCUGUCCUGUCCUUCUGUGGCUCCCUGCCAGGAGAUACAGCUCCUCUCCCCCUUCCAGAAGUUCACUGGCACACAGGAAACUCAACUCUGCUAUACAUUUAUUUUAUUUAUACUUAAUUUUUUCCAAUUUGUCAAAAUUGAUAAAGCAUAAUACUACUUUUCAUCAUAUUCUCCCCUUCUUGGGAGACCAAUUUGUGCAUUCUUUUGCUAUAUUCUAAAUAGCUUUUAGCAAUUGUUCCAAUUAACCAGUUUUCUGGUUGGAACAUUUUGCCAUCUUUAAAGCAAGAUUUCAGGCUCUCUAGAUUUCUCCCAAGUCUCCUGGGACAAAACCAGCAACCCCUUGCUUUGUAUGUCAUUCAUAUUUGUCAAUAAGUUAUACGACGCUAGAAAUACCCAGCUGUUUCUGAUUCUACACCUUUGUCCCUUCAAUUUUGCCUUUACUGGUUAAAUCACCGUAGGUCCAUGCCCCAAAUUCUAUGCCUACCACAUAUACCAGCAAGUUACUUCUGAUGAAUAUCUUCCAGACAUUCAUCACAUUGUAUUCCACUGUAACCCGGACCAUAGACAGUCCUAGGCAUCCAUGUUCUCACUUAGUCUCUGGGUCAUUAUUACCUUGAGGAUAACUCAUCCUACACUCCUGGCAGACACACACAAGGCUCUUUUUUACCUCCAUGGCUUCUUCUAAAAUAUUCAACUUUUCAGCAGUUUUUAGGCAUUAUCAGUGGUUUAACCUUUAGUUCCUCUCUGAACCCUGGUUGUACUUUUAUCUGAAUCAUCACAGUAAAUACUGUAUAUUCUAAUACCUUCCCAACACAUUUGUGCAUCUUAUUUAUUUAGUUAAUUGGUUUUACAGGUUUUAUUACCCUACCUGUCUUAUCUCUACAUUUUCUGUUCAAUGUUUGUUGACAGUAUGCAUUUCAUUUUAUGAUUAAAUUAUUCUUAGUCCUAAUAUCUUUCUGACUAAUUAUCUUUACUAACUUUAAAAUUUGUCUUUAUCUUAUUCAUAAUUUUAUUGUUAAAUAUCUUCUAUCACAUUGUUUUUCUAUAGCAAAGAACAAAUUCCCUUUAUAUCAGAGGAAAUGUUCUAAUAAUCCAACAGUUUCUUUGUCAACUAUCCAAACUUAAUUCCUAUAAUUCUUUUCAAAUUUUAAAAUGGUUAAGAUCUGUAACUUUAUUCAGAUAGUUCGUACCUCACUUUGCAUUAAGUAAUUUUUAGUUUGCUAAAUAAUAGCUACAAAAUUAAAAACAUUAAUUUCAUUAAUCACAUCUUGCAUGCAACUUUUAUCAGAGGGUAUGAACAGCUAUUUUAGCAUUUCCAUCACUCUGGUGCAUAUCUUAAUACUUGAAUUAAAAUUAUUUCAGUUAAUCAACAUUCAAACUUUUUCUUCAUUUUCCUAAAAUAUACUACAACUGUUUCGUGGUCAAAACAAAAGCAGUCACUAUCUCUUCUACUGAAUUUAAAAUGACAAAUGCUUUUGUGUUUGUAAAUUUUCAAAUUUCAUUCUGGCGAUCUAUUCUUUCUCUCUCUCUCUGUUUCUUCCGGCUGCUUCAGUGGAUCAUCCACAUAUCUAUUUGGCACAGGUUUUACAACGAAUUGCCUUCCUGGUGUGAUCCAGCACUGAGAGUGCACUCAUGCAAUCCCAGUGGCUGACAAUCUAAAAAUCCAUUAACCAUGUAACCCAAUUAAUUAAGGAUUUAAGUACAUUUUUCCUUGUUAUCUAUAACCUCCAUAUUUAAUUUUUCAUUCACUCUGUCAUAUGUUGUUAUUAUACUCACAUAUAUAUACACCUACUCAUCCUUUAUAGUUCAAUUAUAUCUUUAACAUAUACCUUUUAAUAUUGUAAUCCUAUUUCUCAAUAUGUCUGUCCUCAUUUAGGAAUAUGUAUCCAGUUAUCUGUCAAACUUCGAUCAUAUUUUCACUUAGGUGUCAAACUUGUUCAUAAAUCUUUUUUAUUAUUAUUAUUAUUAUUAUUAUUAUUAUUAUUACAUUCUGUUUCUCCAAGUACUGCCCCUCUCUCAUUCAAGCUAGCUUAUGAGCUUUAUUAUUGCCACAGAUAUUACUGUUUUUUCUUUAGAAUUGUCUGGUUGGGUAAAAAGGUUAAGUCCUCUCAACUUUUCUACAUUUUAACUAAAUCAGAAAUUUACCUGUCAUUUUGGCAUAACAAUCUUUUUUUUUUUCAUUAAAAAUCUUUUUACCCUUUUAUUGUCUGUUGCUGGGAUGUCUGGUGAAAUUAUUCCUCCUUUUUCUGAGUGCCCUUGACACUCCCGUGAGCUCUGCGUUCUGGGCUGUGCCUGGAACUGACUCUCUUAUCUCGGCUCAUUUCUCCUGCUUCACAAUUAAAUCUUCAGUGCACUUUUUUUUUUUUUUUUCCAAACAAUUGUACUUUUUAAACAAAUCUUUUUUCUUUUUCUUUCUUUUCCUUUUUCAUCACUAACAGCUGUUACAACAUAAGAUAUCUAUUUUCUUUUUAUUAUCAUUUAUUGAUUUUUCUUCCUUUAUCAUUUUUGUAUUUGAGGUACUUUUUAAAUCUUCAUCAUAUGAGCUGUUUACAGCUGCAUCUACUUCUAACCUCGGUCCGAACUUUUCAGCUUGGAAUUUCUUUUACAAAGAACUGCUAACAUUUUAUUAACAAAAACAAUCAAGCACAGUGGAUUUUCUUUAUUGCCAGUUUCUUUUCAAACAGACCCUCGGUUUGAGCAAUAUGGUUAAGGGUGAACACCGGCCUGACUUUAUCUGUCCGCUUCUCAUACUGAAGUGCGGAUGGCUGAGAGGGUCCUGGCACAUCAUUUCUCAGAUCCUACUACUUUGCAUUGUUGGUGGUUUUUUUUUUUUUUUAUAAUAAGUUUAUUGUUAACAGUCUAUCUUCCAUUAUCUUCAUUGUCUGGAAAUUCAAAUUAUAUUCUUUCAAUACUACAAUAUUGUUACUCCUUUUUAACUAUUCUUUAACUUUCUAUUAAAAGAAAAGUUAUCAGUUGUCACAACUAUUGUUUUCCAGUCUUUUAGCCUCUAGCGUUCUGAACUAUGAGCUCUUCUCUCUACUCAGACAGUGCAGUGUGAGAGACAAUCUUACACACACCGCUGUUACACGUUUGAGUCUGAGCUGUGCUCACCGACUCUCUACAGCCUCUACACCUAUUUUACACUGAAAUCAUCCCGACUGUGCCGGGACCAAUUAUCAUGUUUUCAAUUCACUUUUUCUUAAAUUACCAUGUCACUUAAGAUUAUUUUCCCAACACAUAUUGGUACAGAUUAAAAGUCCUACUUUUAGCCUGCCUAUUUCCACUUCAUAAAACUGUCUUCUGACAAUGUUAGGUGAAUAUUUAUCUUCUAUUUAUUUAUAACUAUUUUAACAACUAUUUGAUAUUUUCUAUCCAGGUCUGGUGGUUUAAAUAGUAUUCUUUUUGGCACUCUACCACACCUAUAAGAAUGUAAAACAUUUUCUUUAGCUUUAUGUAUCAACAGUACCUAUCACAUUUUCCUUUUCUAGGAGCCUUAUACUGUAAUUUUAUCACAGGUACACAUUUUCCCCAUUUCCACUUUUUCUUCUUGUAUAGCUGCUAGACCUACCUCAGUCUUUAAGUUUUGACCAUUUUGGUCUGUCACAGGAGCCACGUUCCAUUUCUAGAACCGGUGUGUCUGCUCGAAAGGCUAAUUUUUCUUUCUCAUGGAUAAGCAUAAACACAUUGCUGGAUUUUUGCUGGGCUCUCCCUGCCAUAAGCGAAGCGUCCUUCACUAACAGGUCUUAUCUUUAGCUCGUCUCUGCCUCUCAUUCUCUGAGGCUAGCCAUGUGAGACUUUCUGUCUCUCCUACAGCUUUCUUAACCUUUACGGCUCCCUGGCUCGUAAUGUUAUCUGUUCUACGCGCGUUCAACCCUUUCUGGGCCGUCUAUAAAUAAUCCCUCUAGAUUAUUUACAUUUUGGGUCUCACAGGUUACCUGGUGAUUCACUAGCUUCCCAAGUUUUUACAUCUAAAACUCAAGCGCACAAGUGCAGAAGCGAAUGGGAAAGCAUUGCUCGAUCGACCGUGGCCAGGGGUCGAUGGAUCAAUGCCCCAACGUUGGGCGCCAUGUUUUUCGGUGUGUAUUUUGAUCUUAACACCUUUAACCUUAUUAUUUAUUAUUCUCAGGUUAGGUAAAGUAAGUCGAGUCUGGCCUAAAUUAUAAGCAUUACAAUUUGGUCAGAAGACUCCUCUGUGGUACGUUCUCGUUCAAAGUCUUAAAACACUAUAAAUCAAGCCAAGGUAGGCAGCUUUUGUAAUCAAUUAAAUUUCUUUUAAUUGGUUACUUUUCUUUUUAUAAUAAACAAAAAUGUAAAGGCAAAUAAAACUUCAUCAUUAAGGUAUAAGAUACAAUAAUCACUCUUUUGAGUCAAAGGUGUAGUCAGCUCUGGGCUUCCCAUCUUCAGCUUGGGGUUUCUUGUCCUCAGCUCUGGGCUUCUAGGCGUCGGGGGUACUGACGUAUCAGUAUCCGAAGAGGCAAUCAACUCAUCAGUCUUUUAUACUCCUGCUGUUUAUCGCAGACGUUGGGUUAUCUUCUUGAUUGACGUAUGUUGUAACUUUCCCAAAGUUUCCAGAUCCUUCUCAAGGCCUCGCAGGUGCGAGCUGUCUGGCUUUUGUGUCCUUGAACUCCAGUAAACUCAGCCAAGAUGGCUGAUGUCCUUAUAAGGUUCUAGGAGUAGAACCACAGUUCUCUGUGUCCUUGAGCACACACACAUAGAACCACACACACAUAUCCAACAAUAACGGUACAUCUCUGGCCAUACAGUAUAAUACAUUUCUUAGAAACAAACAAAAAUAAAUAAUAAUAAUAUUGUAAGCAAUGCCUAAUAUUUAGUACAUUGGCCAAAUGUGUAGCAACAGACUUCCAAAAUCUAAACAAGGAGGCAGGGUUAUUGCAUUUUCUUGAUUUAAUACAACAGUGUGUCUGGAAGUUAUGAAAUCAUGGCUUUCCAAAAAUGUUCUUUUCUUGAACAAAAUAAAAUGGAAAUUAUUGCCUUCAGCCCUUCUGACUCCAGAACACAAAAUCAAAUUGAUCUUGAGUCUUUAAAUUCUUUUAUCUCUCCCCACGUGUGGAAUCUGGGUGUGAUAAUUGACAACUGCUUGAAAUUUGACAAACAAAUCAUCACUGUUGUAGUUUGAAGUUUCUUCUAUCUUCGUUCUCUCUCUAA